GGAAAAUAACUCAGUUGGUAGAGGGCUUGCCUCACAUGCACAAGGCCUUGGGUUCAAUUCCCAGCACCA
rnacentral:tRNA from 1 species